AGCAGCCGCGGUAAUUCCAGCUCCAAUAGCGUAUAUUAAAGUUGUUGCAGUUAAAAAGCUCGUAGUUGAAUUUCGGGGUCAGUAGAUUGGUCGUGCCACUGGUAUGUACUGGUCUUACUGGCUCCUCCUUCCUGAUGAACCGUAAUGCCAUUAAUUUGGUGUUGCGGGGAGACUGGACUGUUACCUUGAAAAAAAUUAGAGUGUUUAAAGCAGGCUAACGCUUGAAUACAUUAGCAUGGAAUAAUGAAAUAGGACGUUCGAUCUUAUUUUGUUGGUUUCUAGGAUUGACGUAAUGAUUAAUAGGGAUAGUUGGGGGCAUUAGUAUUCAAUUGUCAGAGGUGAAAUUCUUGGAUUUAUUGAAGACUAACUACUGCGAAAGCAUUUGCCAAGGAUGUUUUCAUUAAUCAAGAACGAAAGUUAGGGGAUCAAAGACGAUCAGAUACCGUCGUA
rnacentral:rRNA from 1 species